UUGGAAGUGAUGAACAAGUUGAAGUUUGAGCUCUGCGGUGAUGAGUCUUGUAUUCGUACUGUCUGAUCUAG